GGAGACGUCGCAUAGCCCGGUCGAGCGCGCCUCACUGCUAACGAGAUAAGGGGUUAAACCCUUCAGGAGUUCAAAUCUCCUCGUCUCCGCCA
rnacentral:tRNA from 2 species